GGUGGGGGCCCCUGUGAGGUUUGGCUUCCCGAAGCCAUGGUGGAAGAGGCAGCUUUGCUCGAGAGACGCUGAAGGCUUUUGUCCCAGGAGGGUCUGACCCCCACACCCCUUUUGGAGCCCCUGACUUCAACAGGGAGGGCGGGAGCGGUGGGCCGCUGCUGUGGACAUGUGAACUCCAAAUCUGGGACUACUCGGUGGAGGUUUCAGCUUUGGGGUCGCAGUGGAGAAGACAGAGCCCCUGUAUCCUGCUGGCGGCCCCUCCCCUGCUGCGACGGCCUCCUCGUUUCGCUGUGUCUGUCACCUGUGGUGAUUCAGAAAACAGGAGCAAACUGAUACCAAUUAAAAGAGAGCAAUCGUCCGUCCAUGUUCCCGCUCCCCUCCAGUGUCCGGAAGAGACUGAAAGGUUUAGAAGGGACCUUACGUGUAAACGCUUAAUUUUCCGUUGACCCCUGGAGUUUGUCGGUUUUUCCUGAGGGCUCACGGCGAAUGGAUGGUAGACAAGAAGCCAGGUGGACUCCCCAUGUCACCACACUGAGCUUCGUCCUCGCCUGCCUCCGUACCCCGCCGUAUUUCUUUCGGGCAGCCAGACGUCUCUCCUGAGCCUCAGCUCUGGGAAGGGCAGGCCCGUUUUUCUAGAUCUCCGGAAGAGGUGGGUGUGUCGCAGGAUCCAUUGAUCCUGAAAACAAACCGAAGCCAAGGGGUGGCAGGGCGAUAAGCCCCAGGGAAUGCUUUCUCCUCCCGCCUGUGCGUGAGGGAUCAAGGUAUAAAGGUUUGGCUCACGGGAAUUAACGGGUCAUCUAAAAGCAGGGGUCAGGGGUCAAGUAAAAACUCCAAGCACACAGAAUCAAACGGGAGAGUGCUCACUUCAUGGAUGGUGCUGGAGUCUGGGACGGACCAGGGCCCCCUGUUCUGUUAGUCCUGGUGCCCCUUCCCCAUAGAGCCACAGCAUGUCGGGUGUUCAUUGUCAAGUCAAGGACCUGAGACUUUGGCAGUGACUUAACCCAGAUGAAAAGCCCCGCCUCAUUUCCUGUGUAACUGAAGUGACCGGUAAUUUCAUCUGUCCAUCUGGCAGCCCUCAGCCACUCAGCCACUGUCCAGGGCUGUUUCCGAGAGGCCCAGGAGCUUGUAGGACCUUGAGCAUCAGCCGCGAAGUGACUGACACCCCGCAGACGUGUGUUUGAUCCAAAGAGAUGUCCAGAGCCUAUUCAGGAAUGUCAGUCUGUGCUGCUGGACACACCCCGCACGCAUGCCCAAACAUUCCAUUCCCAGCAUGGCCACACGGGUCCGGGUGCCUCCCUCGGUGGUUCUGUCCACACAUUUCCGGAGGGUCACUCUGCGCUGUCUCGCUUCGGGGACACGCUCUUUGUAAACCCCCGAAAUCUGCCUUGUAUCGCCCUGCCUCCCCCGCCCCCACUCCAGCCCCUCAAAAGCUACCUGGCUCGGGCCGUUCUGGGGUGACUCAGGUCGUGUCUCCGUGCUCAGCUGCUCACCUUGACCGGGCUCCGUAACACGUCUUUGUCUCAGGGCAAAGAGAUGAUGGACCUCAGGUGAUGUUCGGGCAGUUGUGGGGAGCCAGAUUUCCUAAAGGGAAGGAAGGAAGGUUCUUGAACAAAUUGUGAAAGAGAUGGUUUAUCGGUUUCCAGCUAGGAAACAGGGAUCAGUGUUUACUAAACACAAGUUGCCGUAAGCUGGCCUCGUUCUUUCCUGGGAAACUGACAUGGAACUAGUCGAGCCUGGAAAUUAGAUGUCAUACACCUAGACCAUUUAAAAUUAUAUAACAUGCGAAGGCAUUUUCACAAAAAUCGAAAUACAGAUGAGGGUCUCUUUGAUUCCCAUCCGGAUCCUGGUGUCCUCAGGUAACAUCUAGGCACGUGUCAGAUUUUUCCUGUGCGUUUGUGUAGAAGGUACGCGUCCUCUACAGCAAACAGAAUACCGAGCUUGUCGUUAAGGUGGAAACGUAUGUCUUGGAAUAAAUAGGUUUGCCGUGCGUUUAAA